rnacentral:rRNA from 1 species
UCGAGAAUUUUUCACAAUGGGCGAAAGCCUGAUGGAGCGACGCCGCGUGGGGGAUGAAUGGCUUCGGCCCGUAAACCCCUGUCAUUUGCGAUCAACCCUCAUUAUUUAAAAGAUGGUGAGCUGAUAGUAGCGAAAGAGGAAGGGACGGCUAACUCUGUGCCAGCAGCCGCGGUAAUACAGAGGUCCCGAGCGUUGUUCGGAUUCACUGGGCGUAAAGGGUGCGUAGGUGGUGAGGUAAGUCGGAUGUGAAAUCUCGGAGCUCAACUCCGAAACUGCAUUGGAAACUACCUUGCUCGAGGGUUGGAGGGGGGACUGGAAUUCUCGGCGUAGCAGUGAAAUGCGUAGAUAUCGAGAGGAACACCCGUGGCGAAGGCGAGUCCCUAGACAACUCCUGACGCUGAGGCACGAAAGCUAGGGGAGCAAACA